GUGAACGUUACCAAACUGUUGCCUCGGCGGGAUCUCUGCCCCGGGUGCGUCGCAGCCCCGGACAAGGCGCCCGCCGGAGGACCAACCAAAACUCUUAUUGUAUACCCCCUCGCGGGUUUUUUACUAUCUGAGCCAUCUCGGCGCCCCUCGUGGGCGUUUCGAAAAUGAAUCAAAACUUUCAACAACGGAUCUCUUGGUUCUGGCAUCGAUGAAGAACGCAGCGAAAUGCGAUAAGUAAUGUGAAUUGCAGAAUUCAGUGAAUCAUCGAAUCUUUGAACGCACAUUGCGCCCGCCAGUAUUCUGGCGGGCAUGCCUGUCCGAGCGUCAUUUCAACCCUCGAACCCCUCCGGGGGGUCGGCGUUGGGGAUCGGCCCUUUACGGGGCCGGCCCCGAAAUACAGUGGCGGUCUCGCCGCAGCCUCUCCUGCGCAGUAGUUUGCACACUCGCAUCGGGAGCGCGGCGCGUCCACAGCCGUUAAACACCCCAAACUUCUGAAAUGUUGACCUCGGAUCAGGUAGGAAUACCCGCUGAACUUAAGCAUAUCAAUAAGCGGA
rnacentral:rRNA from 1 species